rnacentral:lncRNA from 1 species
CUUAAAAGCCCACGGGAGUUUCAAAUAAACCACUUUUAGCCACUGGAAUCCAGAGAAGGAACUUCGUGGCUCUUUUCUCCUAGUGAAGGGGGGUCAUGCCACUGAAACUUUCUCUGAGAACCUGCGAGCAAGGAGUCGCUAGCAAUCAGCUCUGUUAAUAAUUUAUAUAUCUUUGAAUCUUUCUUUAGAAAAUAUGGCUUCUUCCUAAUAUACAGAAUAAGCUGGACUCAGAAAACCUUUUUUAUAUCUAAAAUGUCAGAAGGAACCUCCUAUAAGGAAGAUGACAUCAGAACAAGUUAAGAGCAUGUGUGCCUAAUGCAUGAAAGACUGUGGGACGUUUAUCCACCACCUCUAUUAAAGAUCUGUAAGCAGUGUACUGAAAGAAAGAUCUCUAUAUUCAAUCGACUGAAUAUUUCUGUGUCAUCAAGCAUUAAAGGUACUGAAAACAUGUGUGUUCUUUCCUUGCUGGCAUGUUUCUUUCCUCUUUUCUCUGAGGUUUUGCUUCUCUGUCACAAGGUUUCAGAUCCCUAGGAACAAAAAACCCAAGAAAAUCCUUCCACAGUGAAUAGAAAGGAAAUCAAACAAUGGAGAGUGCAAAAUAAUGCCAAAUAAAGAAUAAAGAAUAAAUAAAGAAAGAAUAUUA